CAGUCGCCGCGGUAAUACGAAGGUCCCGAGCGUUGUUCGGAAUCACUGGGCGUAAAGCGUGCGCAGGCGGUUAUGUAAGACAGUUGUGAAAUCCCCGGGCUCAACCUGGGAACUGCAUCUGUGACUGCAUAGCUAGAGUACGGUAGAGGGGGAUGGAAUUCCGCGUGUAGCAGUGAAAUGCGUAGAUAUGCGGAGGAACACCGAUGGCGAAGGCAAUCCCCUGGACCUGUACUGACGCUCAUGCACGAAAGCGUGGGGAGCAAACAGGAUUAGAUACCCCCGUAGUCCCUGUCUCUUAUAC
rnacentral:rRNA from 1 species